rnacentral:rRNA from 1 species
AUGACAAGUGUGGUCACCACUACGCGAUUUGCCUUGACCCGAAGAAUCAAUGAUUUGAGGUGCUCGAUUCAAUGCGUUCAGAAGCUGAUACAGACCUUACUACACAUGCUGAAUUCUUCAUCAACAACCUCAAAGAGACAUGGACCCGUCACUACGAAAACUCAAGGAUCAAUAUCAAUCAUUUUCCAAUCGAGUAUGUCGCGACUACGAAGCAAGGAAACCGGCAUGACUGCGGGUUUCACAUGUUGGAAUACCUUGCUAAGUGGGAAGGCCGACGGGUCCCUGUCGUCACAACUGCAAUGGUCGUGGAGCUUCACAAAAUAUAUACAUGAAACUGGUUGA